UCCUGCCAGAGGUUACUGCUAUCGAGGUUCGACUAAGCCAUGCGAGUCGAAUGUAGCAAUACAUGGCGUACUGCUCAGUAACACGUGGACAACCUGCCCUUAGGACGGGGAUAAACCCGGGAAACUGGGUAUAAUACCCGAUAGGUCUCGAGUGCUGGAAUGCAUCGAGAUCUAAAGCUCCGGCGCCUAAGGAUGGGUCUGCGGCCUAUCAGGUAGUAGUGGGUGUAGUGUACCUACUAGCCUACGACGGGUACGGGUUGUGAGAGCAAGAGCCCGGAGAUGGAUUCUGAGACACGAAUCCAGGCCCUACGGGGUGCAGCAGGCGCGAAAACUUUACAAUGCUGGCAACAGCGAUAAGGGAACCUCGAGUGCCAGGUUACAAAUCUGGCUGUCGAGAUGCCUAAAAAGCA
rnacentral:rRNA from 1 species